rnacentral:misc_RNA from 1 species
AACGCACCUUGCGCUCCUUGGUAUUCCUCGGAGCAUGCCUGUUUGAGUAUCAUGGAAUUCUCAACUCCCAAGUUUCUUACCUGAAGCUGUGGUGAGCUUGGACUUGGAGGUCGUGUCGGUCUGCUUCAGUCGACUCCUCUGAAAUGUAUUAGCGUGAACCUUACGGAUCAUCUUCAACGUGAUAAUUGUCUGCGUUGUGGUUGUGAAGUACUUGUGCGUUCAUGCUUACAGUCGUCUCUUAACCCGAGACACUUUCUUGACUUCUGAUCUCAAAUCAGGUAGGACUACCCGCUGAACUUAA